rnacentral:tRNA from 1 species
GGGGAUGUAGCUCAGUGGAAGAGAACUUGCCCAACAUGCAUGAGGUCCUGGGUUUAAUCUCCAGCACUGCCA